rnacentral:rRNA from 1 species
AACGAACGUUAGCGGCGCGCCUAACACAUGCAAGUCGAGCGAGAAAGGGCUUCGGCCCCGGUACAGCGGCGCACGGGUGAGUAACACGUAGGUAAUCUACCCCCAGGGGGUGGAUAACCUUCCGAAAGGAGGGCUAAUACAGCAUGAGACCACGACUCCGAAAGGGGAUGAGGUCAAAGCCGGCCUCUUCAUGAAAGCUGGACCCAGGGGAGGAGCCUGCGGCCCAUAAGCUAGUUGGUAGGGUAACGGCCUACCAAGGCGAAGACGGGUAGCUGGUCUGAGAGGAUGAUCAGCCACACUGGAACUGAGACACGGUCCAGACUCCUACGGGAGGCAGCAGUGGGGAAUCUUGCGCAAUGGGCGAAAGCCUGACGCAGCGACGCCGCGUGAGUGAUGAAGGCCCUCGGGUUGUAAAGCUCUGUGGAGGGGGACGAAUAAGGGUUGGCUAAUAUCCAGCUCGAUGACGGUACCCCUUUAGCAAGCACCGGCUAACUCUGUGCCAGCCGCCGCCGUAAUAC